rnacentral:rRNA from 1 species
UACGGGGGGAGCAAGGCGUUGUUCGGAUUUACUGGGCGUAAAGGGCGCAGUAGGCGGUCAGCACAAGUCAGUUGUGAAAUCUCCGGGCUUAACUCGGAAAGGUCAACUGAUACUGUGCGACUAGAGUGCAGAAGGGGCAACUGGAAUUCGUCGGUGUAGCGGUGAAAUGCGUAGAGAUCGGAAAGAACACCAACGGCGAAAGCAACUCUGCUGGGCCGACACUGACACUGAGAGACGAAAGCUAGGGGAGCGAAUGGG